AUACAGAGGGUGCAAGCGUUAAUCGGAUUUACUGGGCGUAAAGCGCGCGUAGGUGGCUAAUUAAGUCAAAUGUGAAAUCCCCGAGCUUAACUUGGGAAUUGCAUUCGAUACUGGUUAGCUAGAGUAUGGGAGAGGAUGGUAGAAUUCCAGGUGUAGCGGUGAAAUGCGUAGAGAUCUGGAGGAAUACCGAUGGCGAAGGCAGCCAUCUAGCCUAAUACUGACACUGAGGUGCGAAAGCAUGGGAGCAAACAGGAUUAGAUACCCUGGUAGUCCAUGCCGUAAACGAUGUCUACUAGCCGUUGGGGCCCUUGAGGCUUUAGUGGCGCAGCUAACGCGAUAAGUAGACCGCCUGGGGAGUACGGUCGCAAGACUAAAACUCAAAUGAAUUGGCGGGG
rnacentral:rRNA from 1 species